UACGUAGGGUGCAGGCGUUGUUCGGAAUUACUGGGCGUAAAGGCGCGUAGGCGGCCUUCUAAGUCGAACGUGAAAUCCCCGGGCUCAACCUGGGAACUGCAUCUGUGACUGUAUAGCUAGAGUACGGUAGAGGGGGAUGGAAUUCCGCGUGUAGCAGUGAAAUGCGUAGAUAUGCGGAGGAACACCGAUGGCGAAGGCAAUCCCCUGGACCUGUACUGACGCUCAUGCACGAAAGGCGUGGGGAGCAACAGG
rnacentral:rRNA from 1 species